GGCGGGAUGCUGGAGUGGUUGAACAGGCCUGUCUUGAAAACAGGUGUGCCGCUUAAAACGGCACCAGAGGUUCGAAUCCUCUUCCCGCCGCCA
rnacentral:tRNA from 1 species